rnacentral:lncRNA from 1 species
UCCGGCACGGCUUUCUCAGGCCUAUGCCGGAGCCUCGAGGGCUGGAGAGCGGGAAGACAGGCAGUGCUCGGGGAGUUGCAGCAGGACGUCACCAGGAGGGCGAAGCGGCCACGGGAGGGGGGCCCCGGGACAUUGCGCAGCAAGGAGGCUGCAGGGGCUCGGCCUGCGGGCGCCGGUCCCACGAGGCACUGCGGCCCAGGGUCUGGUGCGGAGAGGGCCCACAGUGGACUUGGUGACGCUGUAUGCCCUCACCGCUCAGCCCCUGGGGCUGGCUUGGCAGACAGUACAGCAUCCAGGGGAGUCAAGGGCAUGGGGCGAGACCAGACUAGGCGAGGCGGGCGGGGCGGAGUGAAUGAGCUCUCAGGAGGGAGGAUGGUGCAGGCAGGGGUGAGGAGCGCAGCGGGCGGCGAGCGGGAGGCACUGGCCUCCAGAGCCCGUGGCCAAGGCGGGCCUCGCGGGCGGCGACGGAGCCGGGAUCGGUGCCUCAGCGUUCGGGCUGGAGACGAGGGUGACCAGGUCUCCAGCUGGGGUGGACGUGCCCACCAGCUGCCGAAGGCCAAGACGCCAGGUCCGGUGGACGUGACAAGCAGGACAUGACAUGGUCCGGUGUGACGGCGAGGACAGAGGAGGCGCGUCCGGCCUUCCUGAACACCUUAGGCUGGUGGGGCUGCGGCAAGAAGCGGGUCUGUUUCUUUACUUCCUCCACGGAGUCGGCACACUAUGGCUGCCCUCUGGGCUCCCAGAACCCACAACAUGAAAGAAAUGGUGCUACCCAGCUCAAGCCUGGGCCUUUGAAUCCGGACACAAAACCCUCUAGCUUGGAAAUGAAUAUGCUGCACUUUACAACCACUGCACUACCUGACUCAGGAAUCGGCUCUGGAAGGUGAAGCUAGAGGAACCAGACCUCAUCAGCCCAACAUCAAAGACACCAUCGGAACAGCAGCGCCCGCAGCACCCACCCCGCACCGGCGACUCCAUCUUCAUGGCCACCCCCUGCGGCGGACGGUUGACCACCAGCCACCACAUCAUCCCAGAGCUGAGCUCCUCCAGCGGGAUGACGCCGUCCCCACCACCUCCCUCUUCUUCUUUUUCAUCCUUCUGUCUCUUUGUUUCUGAGCUUUCCUGUCUUUCCUUUUUUCUGAGAGAUUCAAAGCCUCCACGACUCUGUUUCCCCCGUCCCUUCUGAAUUUAAUUUGCACUAAGUCAUUUGCACUGGUUGGAGUUGUGGAGACGGCCUUGAGUCUCAGUACGAGUGUGCGUGAGUGUGAGCCACCUUGGCAAGUGCCUGUGCAGGGCCCGGCCGCCCUCCAUCUGGGCCGGGUGACUGGGCGCCGGCUGUGUGCCCGAGGCCUCACCCUGCCCUCGCCUAGUCUGGAAGCUCCGACCGACAUCACGGAGCAGCCUUCAAGCAUUCCAUUACGCCCCAUCUCGCUCUGUGCCCCUC